UUAAAUAUUUAUGAGCUUAUGUUGGAUUCCUUGGAACUCAGUGACGAUGAAGGGCGUAGUUACUAGCGAUAUUCUUCGGGGAACUAGAAACAAGUUUUGAUCCGAAGGUUCCCGAAUGGGGCAACCUGUUGAACUUCCAUAGAAUUUAUAUGUGGAAUGUAGUUAACCUGGUGAACUGAAACAUCUUAGUAGCCAGAGGAAAAGAAAGCAAUAGCGAUUUUCUUAUUAGCGGCGAGUUAAAGGAAAAGAGCCUAAACCUUUAUAGGGGUAGUGGGAAUCUUUACUUAUUCAAAUUUAGAAUAUGAAUUUGUUGAAAGCAAAACAAGAAAAGGUUGGAAGUCCUGUAGUUUUCUUACUUUGAGUAUUUUGAUUUUCCCGAGUAGCAUAGAGCACGUGGAAUUCUGUGUGAAUCAGCGAGGACCAUCUCGUAAGGCUAAAUAUUAUUGAGUUACCGAUAGUGAACAAGUACCGCGAGGGAAAGGUGAAAUAGAACCUUGAGAAGGGAGUGAAAUAGAAAAUGAAAGCAUAAGUUCACAUGCAAUAGAAAAGCUUUUAAGCUUAACUGUGUGCCUGUUGAAGAAUGAGCCGGCGACUUAUAGGCAUUGGCAUGGUUAAAAUUUAAAUUUGGAGCCUUAGCGAAAGCGAGUUUUAAUAGAGCGUUUUGUCAUUGUUUAUAGACCCGAAACCGAGUGAUCUAACUAAGACCAGGGUGAAGCUUAGGUAAAACUAAGUGGAGGCCCGAACUCACCAAUGUUGAAAAAUUGGGAGAUGAGUUUUAGUUAGUGGAGAAAUUCUAGUCGAACUCGGAGCUAGCUGGAUCUCUCCGAAAUGCGUUGAGGCGCAGCGAUCAAUUACGAUCUGUUCAGUGGUAAAGCACUGUUUCGAUGAGGGCUGCGAAAGUAGUACCGAGUUGUAGCAAACUAAGAAUACUGUACAAUGUUUUUCAAUUGGUCAGUGAGACUGUGGGGGAUAAGCUUCAUAGUCAAAAGGGAAACAGCCCAGAUCACCAGUUAAGGCCCCUAAAUAUUUGCUAAGUGACAAAGGAUGUAAAUGGACGUAGACAAUCAGGAGGUUUGCUUAGAAGCAGCCAAUUUCCUUUAAAAAGUGCGUAAUAGCUUACUGAUCAAGUCCAUUUGCGCCGAUAAUGUAUGGGACUAAGCAUUUUGCCGAAGCUGUGAGUUUUACGGUAGGAGAGCGUUCUGUUUGGCUUGAAGUAAUGGUGGAAACCUUUAUGGACUUAACAGAAGUGAGAAUGUCGGCUUAAGUAACGAAAACACUGGUGGGAAUCCAGUGCUCCGAAAGCCAAAAAUUUCCUUUGCAAGGUUCGUCCGCAAAGGGUUAGUCAGGUCCUAAAACGAGGCUUACCAGCGUAGUUGAUGGGAAACAGGUUAAUAUUCCUGUACUGCAACUGGUUUGGUUAAGGGUGACGAAAACGGUUAGGGUUAGCCAACAGUUGGUGUUUGGUUUAAGUUUUCAAGGUGUUGAGAAGCAGGGAGUCUGUUUUGAGCUGAGAAGCGAAUAUUUUUUUACUAAGGUAAAGAAAUAACCUGAGUCAUGUUUCCUAGAAAAGCCCUAAUAAUUUCAUUUAAUCAGGAUGCACCUGUAUUUUAAACUGACACAGGUUGGUGGGUAGAGUAUACUAAGGAGAGCGAGAUAACCCUUUUUAAGGAACUCGGCAAAAUGGCCUUGUAACUUCGGGAGAAAAGGUGCCCUGGUUUAUACCAGGGUUGCAGCGAUCAGAUCCAGGCGACUGUUUAUCAAAAACACAGGUCUCCGCAAAGUUGAAAAACUAUGUAUGGGGGCUGACGCCUGCCCAGUGCCGGAAGGUGAAGGAAACUUGUUAGCUUUUAGCAAAGCUCGUGACUUAAGCCCCGGUGAACGGCGGCAGUAACUAUAACUGUCCUAAGGUAGCGAAAUUCCUUGUCGGGUAAGUUCCGACCUGCACGAAAGGCGUAACGAUCUGGAUACUGUCUCAAAAAGGGACUCGGUGAAAUAGAAUUAACUGUGAAGAUGCGGUUAACUUACACUUGGACAGAAAGACCCUAUGAAGCUUUACUGUAGUUUGAAAUUGAUUUUCGACUUUUCUUGCGCAGAAUAGGUGGGAGGCUUCGAUCGAUUUUUUUCGGAGAAUCGUGAGCCAUCAGUGAGAUACCACUCUAGAAAAGUUAAAAAUCUAAUUACGUUUCAUUAUAUGGACGUUUGACCAUUUCAGAUGGGCAGUUUUACUGGGGCGGUAGCCUCCUAAAAGGUAACGGAGGCGUACAAAGGUUUUCUCAAACUGGUCGGAAAUUAGUUUUGGAGUGCAAAGACAUAAGAAAGCUUAACUGUUAGACUUAUAAGUCAAGCAGUGACGAAAGUCGGUCUUAGUGAUCCGACGUUACUUAAUGGGAAGGACGUCGCUCAACAGAUAAAAGUUACUCUAGGGAUAACAGGCUGAUCUCCCCCAAGAGUUCACAUCGACGGGGAGGUUUGGCACCUCGAUGUCGGCUCAUCGCAACCUGGAGCGGUAGUACGUUCCAAGGGUUGGGCUGUUCGCCCAUGAAAGCGGUACGUGAGCUGGGUUCAGAACGUCGAGAGACAGUUCGGUCCAUAUCCGGUGUAAGCGUUGGAGUAUUGAAAGGAACUUUUUCUAGUACGAGAGGACCGAAAAGGACACACCAAUGGUGUGCCAGUUCUUGUGCCAACAGGAAAUGCUGGGUAGCUAUGUGUGAAGUGGAUAACUGCUGAAAGCAUAUAAGCAGGAAGCCCACCUUAAGAUGAGUACUCCUUAUUAUAAGAUUACGAUCAGAUUAAUCGUUAAUAGGUAUCCGGUAUAAUGUUGAGUAAUCACAUAAGCUAAGAUAUACUAAUAAAUCGAGAGUUUCAUCUU
rnacentral:rRNA from 1 species